GUGCUCACUUUGGCAGCACAUAUACUAAAAUCGGAACAAUACAGAGAAGAUUAGUAUGGCCCCUGUGAAAGGAUGAUACACAAAUUCGUGAAGUGUUCCAUAUUUUU